rnacentral:rRNA from 1 species
GACGAACGCUGGCGGCGUGCUUAACACAUGCAAGUCGAACGGAAAGGCCCUGCUUUUGUGGGGUGCUCGAGUGGCGAACGGGUGAGUAACACGUGAGUAACCUGCCCUUGACUUUGGGAUAACUUCAGGAAACUGGGGCUAAUACCGGAUAGGAGCUCCUGCUGCAUGGUGGGGGUUGGAAAGUUUCGGCGGUUGGGGAUGGACUCGCGGCUUAUCAGCUUGUUGGUGGGGUAGUGGCUUACCAAGGCUUUGACGGGUAGCCGGCCUGAGAGGGUGACCGGCCACAGUGGGACUGAGAUACGGCCCAGACUCCUACGGGAGGCAGCAGUGGGGAAUAUUGCACAAUGGGCGGAAGCCUGAUGCAGCAACGCCGCGUGCGGGAUGACGGCCUUCGGGUUGUAAACCGCUUUCGCCUGUGACGAAGCGUGAGUGACGGUAAUGGGUAAAGAAGCACCGGCUACUACGUG